AUGACUCAUUAGAGUCUAAGAUUCAUGCUAAUACUAAAGGAUUUUUAUUGCAGACUACCCAAGAUGCGAACAGUUAUCAUGUGCAAAUGGAGCAUGUUUUAAUGCAAGCCAGCGAUGUGAUGGCAAAGUUGAUUGCAGAGAUUCUUCUGAUGAAGCUAAUUGCAGUAAGUACCGUGUGCAGAGUGAUCCCAAACAAAUAUGCUUUAUAGACCUCCUUUUAGAGUUAAAGACUGUAGUUUUCUGACAGAUUUUCUUUAUGUCUUUUUGUGCUAAAAUGUCUUUCAGCCCAUGGCUGUACCAGCACGCAGUUUCAGUGUGCUAAUGGAGAAUGCAUCCCUCGAGCCUUCAUCUGUGACCAUGAUGAUGACUGUGGAGACAGGAGUGAUGAAAACUCUUGCACUUAUGCAACUUGCAGAGGCAACUUCUUCACUUGCCCGAGUGGCCGCUGCAUUCAUCAGAGCUGGAUAUGCGAUGGAGAUGAUGACUGUGAAGAUAAUGAAGAUGAAAGAGGAUGUGAAAGUGGUCGCCAUGAGUGCUACCCAGGAGAGUGGGCUUGCCCUGGGUCAGGGCAUUGCAUUCCAAUUGGAAAAGUGUGUGAUGGGACUGCAGACUGCCCAGAAGGAGAGGAUGAAACUAACAUCACCGCAGGCAGACAUUGCAGUAUGUGUUAGAAUCAAAAACAUACACAGAACUGCAGAAACACCAGCAUUGAUAUCUUUUUAUAUUCACCUUUUGUCUCCUAAAGAAUACUGAAAUUUUGGAAGCUUGCUAUUUUCAUUGACACUGUUCUGAUUGGAUGAUCUGAAAGAGGCAUAUAUGCUGCAAAAAACCCCAUUCCUUUUGUAAAACAAAAUUUCACAAAUAAGGAUUUUAACUCACUCUCCAUAUCCUAAAAUAUGUUCACAAAGACAGAGAAAGGUGUGCUAUAUGCCUUUUUUGUUUAAAUAUCUGUGGUUUUCCCUUUGUGUAAGUGAGAAGGAAUGUUUUGUACUGAUCAGAACACAGGAUUGAAUCAGUGUAUCCUGAGCUUUGGCUAAUUCACUUUAAAGAUUAGAGUUUUCAAAAAUAUCUUCACCUGGGAUGCCUGUUUCUCCAGUUGGUGGUACACUGGGUUUUUCUCUGUUGGAGGCAAUGAGC
rnacentral:lncRNA from 1 species